AAUAGAUACCCUGGUAGUCCACGCCGUAAACGUUGGAUACUAGGUGUGGCGUCCCGAUCAACGGAUGCCGUGCCGAAGCUAACGCAUUAAGUAUCCCGCCUGGGGAGUACGGCCGCAAGGCUAAAACUCAAAGGAAUUGACGGGUCCCCGCACAAGCGGCGGAGCAUGCGGCUUAAUUCGAUGCAACCCGAAGAACCUUACCUGGGUUUGAAAUCAUGGGAAAAGCUGUAGAAAUACAGUGUCCGUAAGGGCCCAUGACAGGUGGUGCAUGGCUGUCGUCAGCUCGUGUCGUGAGAUGUUGGGUUAAGUCCCGCAACGGGCGCAACCCUUGUCCUAUGUUGCCAGCGGUUUCGGCCGGGGACUCAUAGGAGACUGCCGGGGAUAACUCGGAGGAAGGUGAGGACGACGUCAAGUCAUCAUGCCCCUUAUAUCCAGGGCUGCACGCAUGCUACAAUGGUCGGUACAACGGGCAGCGACCCCGCGAGGGUGAGCGAAUCCCACAAAGCCGGCCUCAGUUCGGAUUGGAGU
rnacentral:rRNA from 1 species